GCGGCAUGCUUACACAUGCAGUCGAACGGUAGAGGGGCAACCUUGAGAGUGGCGAACGGGUGAGUAUAUAUCGGAACGUGCCCAAUCGUGGGGGAUAACGUAGAGAAAUUUACGCUAAUACCGCAUACGAUCCAAGGAUGAAAGCGGGGGAUUCGCAAGAACCUCGCGCGAUUGGAGCGGCUGAUAUCAGAUUAGGUUGUUGGUGAGGUAAAAGCUCACCAAGCCGACGAUCUGUAGCUGGUUUGAGAGAACGACCAGCCACACUGGGACUGAGACACGGCCCAGACUCCUACGGGAGGCAGCAGUGGGGAAUUUUGGACAAUGGGCGAAAGCCUGAUCCAGCAAUGCCGCGUGCAGGAAGAAGGCCUUCGGGUUGUAAACUGCUUUUGUACGGAACGAAACGGUCUGCUUUAAUAAAGCGGGCUAAUGACGGUACCGUAAGAAUAAGCACCGGCUAACUACGUGCCAGCAGCCGCGGUAAUACGUAGGGUGCGAGCGUUAAUCGGAAUUACUGGGCGUUAAAGCGUGCGCAGGCGGUUAUGUAAGACAGUUGUGAAAUCCCCGGGCUCAACCUGGGAAUUGCAUCUGUGACUGCAUAGCUAGAGUACGGUAGAGGGGGAUGGAAUU
rnacentral:rRNA from 1 species